CCCAAGUAUAACUCCAACUUCCAGGCUCAGGACCCUCAUCUCUCACCUCCUCCUGCCAAGAUCACCCCAAGCAGAAACCAGGAUCAUAACAAACUCUACCUCAUGGGGCUGACCCGAAGGGAUGAUGCAUGGCAGAACACAUGGCUCAGGUCACAGUGGUGGAAUGACCAGCCCACAAGUCUUAGCAGGUCGCAGUGAUGGAUGCAGGAUGUUUCUGCCUGACCAGCCUCCAUUCUCACUUCUGAUAUGAGAAAUGUCGACCUGGAGCUGUUGGGGCCAUCUGGGCAGAAAGGCUGUCUGGGAAUGAAGUCAAAGAGAUGGAAGAAGAGAAAAAGAGGCCGGUGUCUGGAGUCAUGGUUUGAGCCCCCGAAUCCAACUGUACCUGAAGCCCUGUCUGUUUCAGAAACGGAAGGCAAUAAAUUCAGCCUUUGCCUUAAG